UCGGCGCACCGCCCUCUCAGCAGAGGGGAGCGCUGCGCUGCGGGCUCCAGGAGCUCGGCGGAGAGUCGGGAGGCGCGGUUCCCUAGCCCCGGCCUGUCACCGUGACUCAGCAACCCCGGCUGCCUGCUUCGGUGGCGGAGGAGAGUCUCGAACUCACGCAGCCAGGUUCUCAUUCAGUUCUUGUCAGAUCCUGAUACGCACUUGCUUCCUUCUGCUUCUGCAGCAGCUAAUCAUUCUGUCUCAGGAAUUCUGCACGGCUCUUCCCUCUACCUGAACACCUGAGCACUUUGCCCCGUGGAGCCCACUGGAUAGCUUCCUGUCUCCUUCGGGCUUUUGCUCAAAGGUCAAUUAGUAAAUGUUCCCUUGACCAUUCUAUUCAAAACUGCAGCCCCUGAUCCCAGCACCCUUUCCAGUUGCCCUUUUCCGUGCAACCCCUGACCUGCCGGCGGUUUUACCUCUUUGUCACUUAAGUGGCCGCGGCAUCUGGGACGCCACUUGUAACACGGAAGUUCGCAUUUAUGAACGAAUGAAUGAAUGGGGGGGGGGCG